rnacentral:rRNA from 1 species
GGGUUGUGAGGUUAAGCGAAUAAGCGUACACGGUGGAUGCCUAGGCAAUCAGAGGCGAUGAAGGACGUGCUAAUCUGCGAAAAGCGUCGGUAAGGUGAUAUGAACCGUUAUACCCGACGAUAUCCGAAUGGGGAAACCCAGUAUCCAAUGGAUACUAUCAUUAACUGAAUCCAUAGGUUAAUGAGGCGAACCGGGAGAACUGAAACAUCUCAGUACCCCGAGGAAAAGAAAUCAACCGAGAUUCCCCUAGUAGCGGCGAGCGAACGGGGAGCAGCCCAGAGUCUUAAUCAAUAGCAGUGUCAGGAGAACGGUCUGGAAAGUCCGGCAGUAAAGGGUGAUAGCCCCGUAUCUGAAGAUGCUGUUAUUGUGAACUCGACGAGUAGGGCGGGACACGUGUUAUCCUGUCUGAAUAUGGGGGGACCAUCCUCCAAGGCUAAAUACUCCUGAUUGACCGAUAGUGAACCAGUACCGUGAGGGAAAGGCGAAAAGAACCCCGGCGAGGGGAGUGAAAAAGAACCUGAAACCGUGUACGUACAAGCAGUAGGAGCCUCUUUAUGGGGUGACUGCGUACCUUUUGUAUAAUGGGUCAGCGACUUAUAUUCUGUAGCAAGGUUAACCGUAUAGGGGAGCCGUAGGGAAACCGAGUCUUAACUGGGCGAAUGAGUUGCAGGGUAUAGACCCGAAACCCGGUGAUCUAUCCAUGGGCAGGUUGAAGGUUGGGUAACACUAACUGGAGGACCGAACCGACUAAUGUUGAAAAAUUAGCGGAUGACUUGUGGAUGGGGGUGAAAGGCCAAUCAAACCGGGAGAUAGCUGGUUCUCCCCGAAAGCUAUUUAGGUAGCGCCUCGUGAACUCAUCUUCGGGGGUAGAGCACUGUUUCGACUAGGGGGUCAUCCCGACUUACCAACUCGAUGCAAACUGCGAAUACCGAAGAAUGUUAUCACGGGAGACACACGGCGGGUGCUAACGUCCGUCGUGAAGAGGGAAACAACCCAGACCGCCAGCUAAGGUCCCAAAGUCAUGGUUAAGUGGGAAACGAAGUGGGAAGGCUCAGACAGCCAGGAUGUUGGCUUAGAAGCAGCCAUCAUUUAAAGAAAGCGUAAUAGCUCACUGGUCGAGUCGGCCCGCGCGGAAGAUGUAACGGGGCUAAACCAUGCACCGAAGCUGCGGCAGCGACACGUAGUGUUGUUGGGUAGGGGAGCGUUCUGUAAGCCUGCGAAGGUGUACUGUGAGGUAUGCUGGAGGUAUCAGAAGUGCGAAUGCUGACAUAAGUAACGAUAAUGCGGGUGAAAAACCCGCACGCCGGAAGACCAAGGGUUCCUGUCCAACGUUAAUCGGGGCAGGGUGAGUCGACCCCUAAGGCGAGGCUGAAAAGCGUAGUCGAUGGGAAACGGGUUAAUAUUCCCGUACUGGUGGUAACUGCGAUGGGGGAACGGAGAAGGCUAGGUUGUCCGGGCGACGGUCGUCCCGGUUCAAGCAGGUAGGCAGAGUGAUUAGGCAAAUCCGGUCACUUAAUGCUGAGAUGUGAUGACGAACCACCAAGGUGGUGAAGCAAUUGAUGCCCCGCUUCCAGGAAAAGCCUCUAAGCUUCAGGUUACCAACAAUCGUACCCCAAACCGACACAGGUGGUCAGGUAGAGAAUACUCAGGCGCUUGAGAGAACUCGGGUGAAGGAACUAGGCAAAAUGGUGCCGUAACUUCGGGAGAAGGCACGCUGGCGGUAGGUAAAGUCCCUCGCGGACGGCGCUGAAGCCAGUCGAAGAUACCAGCUGGCUGCAACUGUUUAUUAAAAACACAGCACUGUGCAAACACGAAAGUGGACGUAUACGGUGUGACGCCUGCCCGGUGCUGGAAGGUUAAUUGAUGGGGUCAGCCGUAAGGCGAAGCUCCUGAUCGAAGCCCCAGUAAACGGCGGCCGUAACUAUAACGGUCCUAAGGUAGCGAAAUUCCUUGUCGGGUAAGUUCCGACCUGCACGAAUGGCGUAAUGAUGGCCAGGCUGUCUCCACCCGAGACUCAGUGAAAUUGAACUCGCUGUGAAGAUGCAGUGUACCCGCGGCAAGACGGAAAGACCCCGUGAACCUUUACUAUAGCUUGACACUGAACAUUGAGCCUUGAUGUGUAGGAUAGGUGGGAGGCUUUGAAGUGUGGACGCCAGUCUGCAUGGAGCCAACCUUGAAAUACCACCCUUUAACGUUUGAUGUUCUAACCUAGGCCCAUAAACUGGGUCGGGGACCGUGUCUGGUGGGUAGUUUGACUGGGGCGGUCUCCUCCUAAAGAGUAACGGAGGAGCACGAAGGUUGGCUAAGCAUGGUCGGACAUCAUGCGGUUAGUGCAAAGGCAUAAGCCAGCUUGACUGCGAGAGUGACGGCUCGAGCAGGUACGAAAGUAGGUCUUAGUGAUCCGGUGGUUCUGAAUGGAAGGGCCAUCGCUCAACGGAUAAAAGGUACUCCGGGGAUAACAGGCUGAUACCGCCCAAGAGUUCAUAUCGACGGCGGUGUUUGGCACCUCGAUGUCGGCUCAUCACAUCCUGGGGCUGAAGUAGGUCCCAAGGGUAUGGCUGUUCGCCAUUUAAAGUGGUACGCGAGCUGGGUUUAGAACGUCGUGAGACAGUUCGGUCCCUAUCUGCCGUGGGCGUUGGAAGAUUGAGAGGGGUUGCUCCUAGUACGAGAGGACCGGAGUGAACGCACCACUGGUGUUCGGGUUGUCAUGCCAAUGGCAUUGCCCGGUAGCUAAGUGCGGAAGAGAUAACCGCUGAAAGCAUCUAAGCGGGAAACUUGCCUCGAGAUGAGUCUUCCCUGUCGCUUUAAGCGACCUAAAGGAACGUUUAAGACUAAGACGUUGAUAGGCUGGGUGUGUAAGCGUAGCGAUACGUUGAGCUAACCAGUACUAAUGAACCGUGAGGCUUAACCUGACAACACCGAAAGUGUUUUG